rnacentral:misc_RNA from 1 species
AUUAGAAGUCAAACCUGGAUUUACCAGGUGAGUGAUAUAACUAUAGCCAAUGAACUAAACUAACCCUUCUUAUUAUUGGCAACUACUAUCCUAACACCCUCGAUAGAUUUUUAGAGUACAUGAAUAAACCCACCAAAGCCAUUGCAUUGCACCAAAACAAGACAGUCCUUGCCUUAAAAACGGCAAUCAAAACAAUAUUGGUACAAUUUCACCUGCAUUAUAAUCACUCCAUGGCCAAUUUUCCCACUUGCAGGGUGCUAUCUUAGCCGAAUCACUAACAAAUCAAAUAUCAUUCAAAUGAUGACGACAAAAAAGUACAGAUGGAAUUUUUUAUAAGUUAUUGUGAAGUUAACAAUGAAAACCACUACUAAAUAGUAAUGGCCGGGUUUCUAACCAGCUUACAUUCAUCCUGUAUUUCCAUAUAUAAUUGAAAGCAGCAGCUUUAGAGCUACAGAAAAAAAAAAAAAAAAAAAA